CCCAAACAAGCCAUCAUCUUGUUGGGCUCAGUGCCCAUCUCAGCCUCCGAGAUCCUUCUGUGAAUGUCCACAGCAAUCCCUGCAGCCCCUGAAAUCCUCUGGCAUGUGCUACCACUUUUGUUUAUCUUCUUGAUUUCAUCUCUGUCAAGGAAUCCCUAUCUACCCUACAUUAAUACAGUUAGAAGGGUGAGAAGAUGCACUGGAAAAGGGAAGAUCAAUCAUCCCAGCGACCCUAAGCAGAACAGGAGUGAUUCAACUCAAGUGCUGCUACAUUUAAUGGCCUCAACUGCAAAGUGGUGUGCCACCUUCCAAACCUAAAAUUCCAACACACUGUGACUUCUAUCAUGUUUUGUGAAUCUAGGUAGUUUGUCACUAUUGUAGAGGAUACCCAUGAUGGGAGUUAUUCCAAGACAGCUGAUGCUUCAAUACUGCUUCCUUCAAGGUGAUUUGGUGAUGCUUUGCUUUCAGUUCUUCUUUCUGCUUAACAAGAACAAGCUUCAUUCUCAUAACCAGAAGAGCCACCUAGUCAUCUACUAUUAUCAAAGAGAUGAGGACUAACCAGAUGCGUUAGCAGAAUUUGCUGUGUUACUCCUUAUUGAAGACCACGGUGAUUCUUGUUUUAAUUAUGUUUUCUCCACAUAUCCCUAAAACAAAUUUCCAGCAUAUUUCCAAGUUAUUUCAGCUGGAAUUUUCUCUACUAAUCUUAAAAUCAGUAUUCCUACAUUUUGCUGCUUCCUAAGUCUUCCCAGUGGAAAAAAAGGAGAGAAAGGAGCUCAGAAUUCCUUCACUCAGAAUUAGAAUGUAGUGGAGCUGUCUCUUGGGGAAAAAGCUUUUUUCAUCUGCAUGUAAAGUUGCAGACUCCAUAAGGGCCCACGUGUACCAAUUUGAAGCAAAAGUUUCUCAAGCAGAAGUCCAGCACCAGUCCUGUCACACAGCGUAAAACAAAUCACCCAAAGGGAGCAGCACGUAAAUCACUCAACAGAGAUUGCCAGAAAAUUCCAUUGCAUUGCUUCCAAAAUCUAAAACCCAAACAUGCAAGAGCUCCAAACUCUUACCUAAAAAUUCUGAAGGGAAAAUGAACUGUGAAUAACUAUGGAAAAAGUGUAAGCAAUUCGUCCACCUGAUGGGACCACCUGCUAAUCAACGUUCACACAGUAUUCUGUAUCCAGCCAUGAAUCAACAUUCUUGAGCUAAGUUUAUGGCUCAAAAAGCCAAAGACUCCUGUCAUCAUCAUCACUGUUAUUUACCAGUGACUGAGCCAAAGCCUGUAUGAGUUGCUUUGUUUCUGAAAGGAUGUUGACCUACCUGGAAUCUGAUGUAAGGGAGGAGCAGGGGCUAGUUCCAGACAAUGAAGUUACUGGGGAGUACAGGAAAUCACAGGCAGAGCAAAGUGGAACUUUGGGGAGUAAGGCUUUAGUUUCUUAACCCACUGCAUGUGCAUGGAAGAGAGAACUCUGCUUGUGUUAGAAAUGUCUAAGGAAAGGUACUGCACACACUUUUAAAUGAAUGUGUUCUAGUACAAGACAGAGUAUUUUGUGUAAAACUUUUCUAAAAUAUUUAUUGUAGACAAGAAAUAAAUAUUUGUUAUAGAAAAAUAUCUUCCUUCCCAGGUGUAGGAAGUGGGGUCAAACACAAGGAGCUCCUAAAAAUUAGAAAAAGAGAAAUAAAUUUCCCUCAGGAGUGUUCAGCUAUAAAACCAAGGCACUGAAAUAGAUUAAAAUUGCACAAAAUCUAGCACUAAAGCACAAGAUGUGACUCAAUAUAUUUAUGUUUCAGUUUGCUUGGGCUGCUAUAACCCAGUGCCACAAGCUCAGCGAUUUAAAAUUACAGGAAUUUGUUACCUCACAGUUCUGGGGACCAGACACAUAAAGUCAAGAUGACAACAAGGAGUAGGUGAUGUCAGCAAGAUGGUGGAGAAGUAGAUGCCAAUAUCCCUCUCUCUAUAGAAAAUAAAUAAACAGCUAUCCAGGAACAAAAGUAGACUAGGAGAGCUCAAGUGUCCAAUCAAGAAUCUAUAAUGACACAGUGGAGCAAACAAUGGAGAAUAACAAAAAACAUUAUGUGGUUAUUUUCUAUCAGUGUCAGCCACACAGGGGAAGCUACAGUGGUCCCCAUGGGUUCUUUGGCAGAGCCACUGGCAUCUUUCACCACUGAGAUUACCAAAAUAGACAAGUUCUUAAAGCUAAGCUGGUUAAAACAAGAGACAAAGACUCAAGUGAAUAAAGUUACAAGUGAAGCAGGAGACAUUACAACCAGUACCACAGAUAUAUGAAGGAUCAUAAGAGACUACUGUGACCAAUUGUACAUCAACUAAUUGAUAACUAAGUAAAAAUGAAUUCCUAGAAACAUAACCUGACAAGAUUGAAUCAUGACAAUAUAGAAAAUCUAAAAAGACUACUAGUGAAUAAGAUUAAAAUGGUAAUUUUAAAAAAUCUCUUAUGAAACCCAAAUUCCUGAUAGCUUUGCACUUGAGUCCUAUCAAACAUUUAAAUAAGAACUAUCACUAAUCCUUCUCAAAUUCUUCCAAAAAUUGUAAAAAGGAGAGAUAUUUACAAAUGCAUUUUAUUAGGCCAGCAUUAUCCUGCAGUCAAAGUCACACAAAGAUGUUAAAAAAAAAAAAGUUCAAGCCAAUAUCCCUGAUGAACAUUAAUGCAAGAUUCCUCAAUAAAAUACUUAUAACCCAACUAUAAUAGUGCAUUAAAAAUGCCAUCCACUAUAAUCAAAUGGGAUUAAUUUCUAGGGAGUACAGAUGGUUCAAAAUAUACCAAUUGAUAACAUUCAUUAACAGAAUGAAGGAAGAAAACCAUGCAAUUAUCUCAAUGUAGCAUAAAAAACAAUAGUUCAAUAAAUUCUGCAUAGAAGGACUAUAUCACAAGACUAUAAAGGCCACAUAUCACAAGUUCACAGCCAACAUCAUGCUCAAUGAUAAAAAAAAUUGAAAAGAAAGGAUACAUACUCUUAAAAGUUCUCUUCAACAUAUGACUGCAAGUCCUAGCCAGAGAAAUUAGGCAAAAUAAAAAAACAAAAGGCCUCUGAAAAGGAAGGAAUGAAUUGGUCUUUUUGCAGAUAAUAUGAUCUUACAUAUAGAAAACUGUAAAGAGUUCAUCAAAAAAAAAAAAAAGAAAAGAAAAGAACAACAGAAACCUCUCUUAGAACUGAUAAAACAAUUUGGAAAUGUUUCACAUAUGAAAGUCAGUGUGUUUUUACACACUAAUGAACUAUAAAUAAAGAAAUCAAUAAGGCAAUCCUUUUACAGUAACAUCAAAAGGUCUAAUAUAGGAAUACAUUUAUCAAAGAAGGCAAAAGAUCUUCAUACUGAAAAGUAUAAAACGUUAAUGAAAGAACUUGAGGAAGACAUGAACAAACAGAAGGGCAUCUGUAUUCCUACACAGAAGAAUUGACAUUAUUAAUGUCCAUGCUUCCCAAAUUAAUCUCAAAAUUCAAUGCAAUUAUUAUCCAAAUUCCAAUGACAUUUUUCACAGAAAAAGAAAAAAAAUCCUAUAAUUUGAAUUGAAUCACAGAAGACCCUAAAAAGCCAAAUUAAUCUUGAUAAGAAAGAACAAAUUUGGAGUUGUUAUACCAUCUCAUCUUAAAAUGUACUACCAAGCCAUAUUAAUCAAAAUAGUGUGGUAAUGAUACAAAAACAGGCCCAUGGAUCAAAGAAAUAGAAUAUAAAGCUGAAAAAAUAAACCCAUACAUUUAUGGUUAAUUGGUGACAAAAUUUCAAAGAACACACAAAGGCCAGAGGAUAGUUUCUCCAAUAAAUGUUGCUAUGCAAACUGAUAUACAUGUGCAGAGGAGUGAAAAUGGGUGCUUAUCCCAUACCACAUAUGAAAAUAACUUAAAAUGGAGUAAAGGCUGGAAUUUAAGACCUAGAGGAAAAACUUCUUGACAUUGGUCUGGUCAAAUGGAGUACUGGAUACAGUCUCCAAACACAGACAAAAAUCCAAAAAAGAUUUUUUUAAAACAUUUUUUAUUAAGCUUGUACCUAACAAAAAUAAUCAGUAGAAGAAAUAAUUAACAAAAUGAAGAGACUGUAGUAUGAGAUAAAAUAUAUGCAAACCACACACUUGGAUAAGAGGUUAAUAUCUAAAAUAUAUUUGAAACUCAAAUAGCUCAAUAUCAAGAAAACAAACAAGUUGAUUGAAAAAUAGGUAAAGGACUUGAACAGAUAUUUCUUGAUGGAAGACCUACAAUGGCCAACAAGUAUGUGAAAAAGUGUUCAACCUCUUGGCAAUUCAAAUGAAAAACACAGAUAUCACCUCACCCCUGUUAACAUGGUUGUUAUGAAAAAGACAAAAGAUAACAAGGUUGAUGAGGAUGUGGGGAGAAGGGAACUCUUGUACCCUGGUGGUGGGAAUGUAAAUUAGUACAGCUACUAUGGAAAAUAGUACAGAGUUUCCUCAAAAAAUACAAAAGAGAAUUACCCUAUGUCUAGGUUUAUAUCCUAAGGGAAUGAAAUCAGUGUAUCAAAGAGAUAUCUAUACUCCCAUAUUUGUUGCAGUUUUAUUCACAAGCCAAGAAAUGGAAUCAAUCUAAGUUUCCAUCAACAGAAGAAUGAAUAAAGAAAUUAUGGUAAACACAUUACAAUUGAAGAGCAUUCGGCCUUAAGAGAACAAGCAAAUCCUGUCAUUUGUGACAAUAUGGAUGAACUUGGGGGAUAUUUUGGGAAGUAAAAUAAGCUAGGCAUGAAAAGACAAAUACCACAUGUUAUCACAUAAAUGAAGAACUUAAAAAAGUUGAAUUCACAGAAGUAGAGAGUAGUAUGGUGAUUUCCAGGGGCUGGAGGGCAGGGAAAUGGAGUUGGUGGAGGAUACCUCAUUAAAUUUUCAGUUAGGAUGACUAAGCUCUGCAGAUCUUUGGCACAGUGUUGUGACUAUAGUUAAUAAUAAUGACUUAUAUAAUGUAAAAUCGUUGAGCAGAUUUUAAUUAUUCUCACCACAAAAAUAGUAAGUUUGUGAGUUGAUGGUUAUAUUAGUUGACCUAAUCAUUUCUUAGUGUAUAUACACACACACACACACUCAUUCACACACACACAUAGAAACAUGACACUGCAUAUCAUAAAUAAAUUAAAUUUUAACCUUUCAAUUAUGUCUUAAUAAACCACUCCCACCAAAAAAGAUGACAGCAGGGAUAUGUUUACUCAGAAAUAGAUAAGAAGUUAUAUAUAUGUAUAUAUAUAUACAUAUAUAUAUAUAAAUAAAUAGAUAAGGAAAUCCUCCUUUGCCUCUACCUAGCCUCUAGUACUUUCUGGAAACCUUUGGCAUUACCUUGCUUGCAGCUGCCUCCCUCCAGUCUCUGCCUUCAUUGUCACAUGGCUUUGUCUGACAUUUCUCAUUACAUGGCUGUCUUCUCUCUACUGCAGAAUGACCUGAUCUUAAUUAAAUUUUUAACAACUCUAUUUUGAAAUAAGAUCAUAUUCUUCAGUAUUGGUGGUUAGAAUUUCUACAUAUCUUUUGGAUAUGUAGAAAUUCAAACAGACAACAAAUGACUCACUGAAAUAUGAUAGAGAAGCCCCCCUUCCUUUCCCCUCCCCUUCCUCCUCCUUGCCCUUCCCUCCCCUCUUUCCUCCUACUCCACUUCCUUUCCUCUCCCUUCCCUUCCACUUCCCUCCCCUCCCUCUCCCCUGCCCCUGCCCUCCCUUCCCUUCCCUUUUCUUCUUUCAUUGUCCAUGAAAUCUUUGUAAGCACAUAGAAGGAGUUAAGAGAAGCUAAAAGGCAUGAUGAUACCAGAAAGAUAAAAUUCCCCAUGAGAAAGGUAGUGUGCUUGUGUAGUGAAGAAAAGAUCAAAGAUGCAAGGUGCAAUUUUAUGAAGGGAGAAAGAUGAUUUUAAAACAUAACAUUGAUGAGAUCCCUAACUGAUUUUUGGAGACUUGUUGUGAUGCAGAGAGUAGCCACACUUUGUGACCAUCUAAGAGAACCACUCAUGGCUUCAGAGUUAUAUCUGUAUUUCAUACAGAUGUGUCCCAGUGUUCUGGUAGGCUCUAGGGGAGAAGGAAGUGUGACCAAUUUUGUUCAUGCCACAGAAAGGAAGUAUUGUUCUGAUGGGGAUUUUUUUUUGGCAACAGAGGCAUAAUAACAAAACACAAGGGCUAAGCAAAUAUUGGCAGUAAAUGGUCAAGUACAGCCCAUAGGAAAAAGAAAUGAAUGUGUCCAGUGGAUUUUAGGAUUAUGGCUCCCCUGGCAAGUCGCUUCCUGUGAUAGACAACCAUAUCUUAUGCCUUCUUAACUAAGAACUACUCCCUGAUGUAACACUCAGUAGGCCACCCAUUCUGCUCCUAGGUUCACCGAGCAAACUUCCCACUCUAGUUUAAUUUACUCCUUCAAGGAGAGGGGCAAGCUUUGGCUUAACUGUUGAAACAUCAGGUUAAGGUGCCCACAUUUUGUAUUAGAGUGUCAGGCUACAGUCCUCACUCCACUCCCAAUUCAGCUUCCCACCAGUGCACAACCUACAAGGUACCUGGUGAUGGCUCAAGUAGUUGGGUCCCUGCCACUCAUGUGGGAGUCUGUGAUGAAGUUCCUGACUCCUGGCUCCAGCUUUGCCCAGUUCCAGCCCUUACAUGCAUCAAAGGAGCGAUCUAGGAGAUGGGAACACACUCUCUCUCUCUCUCUCUCUCUCUCUCUCUCUCAUUCUGUUUCUCUGCUUCUCUCAUAAACAAAUUCGAAUUAAAAAAGUCACAGACAGCAGAUAAACCAAUGGGCAUGGCUGUGCUCCAGUAAAAUUCUUUACACAAAUAGGCAUCAUGCAAAGCUGCCCCACAAGCUGUAGUUUGCUGACCUUGUUCCAGACUGUAGAAUGAAUAAAUCUAUCUUUGCAUUUGUAAUAAAAUUCAUAAUUCUCUUUUACAUAUAAAUUCUUGUUAGUUUUGUUAAUGCAAACUGCCUUUGAGAUGCAGUUUCACUUUCAGUGCACUGACAAAUUCAACUCUCUGAGUGUGUAAGACUGAAGGUCAGACCUAAGAUCACAGUUAAUUCACAGGGGCAUUAUUCAGUCAUAAACCAUCGUGACAGUUUCCUGCUGGUUUCUACCCAAAUAAAGUAAAGAUUUCAUGACAAAAUUUAGUAUCAAAGUUUUCUCUAUUUUUGUUGUUCUAAUGCUGAGUGGGGCCUCAAAGUCUACUGAGACUAAUGGGACUUACAAAGGGGACAGUGGGCCUUAGAAAUGUCAGCUGACUUGUUUGUCUAGAGGCUGGGAUGAGCGGGUUUCUCAUCUCUCGUCCAUGGGCUGACCUACUGCUUAAAGUGGUCUCAGAUCGCUCGUGUGGUUUGCAGAUUCAGAUUUUGCUGCUCAGCUUCAUCACCAAAGCUUGAGGCCUGUGUCUUCAGUCUUAAUGCACCAGCUCUGGAGCGUUAGGACAAUGAAUAGGGAGACACGACACAUAGGGGCAAAGAGCACCCACAGUGUCUCGGUACCCGUCACAGCUUGUGUGACGUCUCUGAAAAAUUGUUAGUGCCAUUAUACAUCGAUUAUCCAUAUACUAUUUCUCUAAACCUGCCUUGAAAUUGUUUAUAUUUUGGCUUUUACAACUAAUUCAGGUAAUAAAUUCCACAUGUUUACUUCCCUUCUAGACAAGAAGCCCUUCCUGUUAGUUUAGAGCUUAUUUUUAUUAAAACUGAUGAUGACAUAAGUGAGAGAUGACCAAGAUUGAUUGUCCUAGAAAACUCUUAAGAGGAGAACAUUCCAAGGGUGUCCUUUGCCAAAACAAUCUUUGGGUACCUUACAUAGCACGUGACUCCAAAGUAGCACAACCAUACAGUGAUUUUCUAAGAUCUUCAGCCACCAGAUCUUGCUUAAAAGUAAAAAAGAAAAACUACAUGGGAUCAUAGAUAAAUUGCUAACAGAUGCGCUAGACUAUGCUGAGGACUCCCUAUAGAACUAAACAUCAUUUCACACACUGUAUGUACAUAUAUAUAAUUUAUACAUAUAUAUUGUUUUAUUCCCUCCACUAGAAUGCAAAUAACAAGAAGGCAAGAACUUUGUUUAUUCCCAGCCACUAAAAUAGUCCCUGAUGGGAUCUGCAUUGUGGCACAGUGGAUUGAGCCACUGUCUGCAAUGCUGGCAUCCCACAUCUGAGCAACCAGGUUUAAAUCCCAGCUGCUCUACUUCCUAUCCAGCUCCCAGCUAAUGUGUUUGGGAAAGCAGUGGAUGAUGGUCAAGUACUUGGGCUUCUACUACCCACAUAGGAGAUAAGGAUGGAAUUCCUGGCUCAUGGCUUCCAUCUGGCCCAGACCUGGCUGUUGUGACCAUCUGGGGAGCGAACAAGCAGAUGGAAAAUCUCUGUCUUUCUUUCACUCUAUCUUUUAAUAAAUAAAUAAAUUUAAAAACAGUCCCCGUGACAUAGAAGGUAUCUUAUAAAUAUUGUUGAAGAAACGAAGCCAUGUAUGAGGGUUUAGAAUGAAGUUUGAACCCAAGUACCCUACUUGAGGAUGCUCUGCAGAAACCUCUGGUCUGGAAGAGCUUUAGAUUGAUGCAGAGCUUUCAUAUCAAGUUGACACACACAUUAGCAUCUUGGCGUCCUCUCAACAGCAUUAUGUGCUGAGGGCAGGCACAUAUUAUCCCUAUUAUCCCAGAUGAGAAAACAGGAACUCAGAGAAGCUAAUGGAUUCGCUCACAGUCACACUGGUGAGAAAUGGGACAGUGAUCUCCCCUCACGUGUGGUUUUAUUUUCUAUGGUUUCAAUUAUCUAGGGUUGGCCUUGGUUCAAAAUUAUUAGGUGGAAAAUUCCAGAAAUAAAUAAAAUGACUUAAAUAAUGUAUUAUAGUAUAUUGUUGUAAAUGUUCUAUUUUAUUAUUAUAAUUAAUAUCUGAUUAUCACCAGUUUACUAAUUAUACUUUGUCAUGGGACAUAUGUAUAGGAAAAAUAUGGUCUAUAGAGUAGUAUCCACAGUUUCAGGCAUUCACUGGGGCCUUAGAACAUGUCCUUUGGGAAGAACAGAAAACCACAUAGAGUAGAGCUGCAUAUUCAGCUCCAAAUGUGCCAGAACAAUGGUUUCAAACUAUUUUGACUGCUCCUUGGAAAGAACAUCAUUUUAAAUUAUGACCAAGUGACACACAUGCACACACAUACACACACACAUUUCAAUAGACGUUUUACAAAAGAGUGCCCUUCGUAAUAUAACACACUGUGAGAGCUUUAUUCUGUUUAAUUCUCUAAAA